GUCGGCUUCCUCCAAAUACGCACGAAACAGCCGGCUCUAAAGUAAGCGUUCACGUAUUGAGCAGACGAUUUUCAUGGACACAUCCACGAUCUCUUUCAUGUUCUGCAUUUUCGCACAUAGAGCUUGUUGGUGUAAGAAAGUCGGGAAAAGCAUCCUCCUCCAUAGCUACUUAAUAAUGAAUCCGUUUGAACGGCUGACCAUCGCAUGUGCUCCGUCAGUUGUGAUUGAAAAGUUUACACAUUGGCAGCAGUGUUUUGUCGACAAAGAUUAUGUAAAACUGUCUGAUUCUAUUCAGUGCAAGUCAUCAGAAUAAGGCAAUUUUAAAGACCUACAUUUAAAGGAGGCACAGAAUAAACGAGAAGGUGGGCUCUUUUGACUUGGACCGGAUAUCCGAACCCAUCAGAAUUGAACUUAUUUUGUCUCCUUCACAAUAAAAGCGGAUGAAAGUAUCUUUUUUCACUAAAGGCGAGAGUAAGGCCAAGACAGAGAGACAGAUUGUUCGGAGCGAUACGACUUGCAGCUGAGAAAUGGCGCGUUUUUGUUUAUGGAGUGCGCUCGAAUAUAUUCCAGACUUUAUUAAAUUGUGAACUCAGUGGGAAGGAGAGAGGACCGAAUAGCACUUUGGAACAAAAGGCCUCAAGUUUCAUGUUAUGUCUUGGUUACAAAUGACACAGCUUAACCCGGCAUAGGAGACAAAGGCAUAAAUUGAAUCUGGCCCCAAACCACAGACUCCUUAAGUGAAGGAAGGACAUAUCUGCAACACUUCUCUGACACCGUGGAGUGAUACUCUUUUAUAUUGUUAUGGUUAGACUGACACCCCUAGCCAAAGAAUGGCAGAAAAUGAAUUUCCACCCUACAACUUUUCCAGCUUUAUCCAGCAGAUUUCAUUCCUGAGUCACGCUCCGAGCUUCAGUGAGUCUGCAACGAGCAGUGUGCGCGUGAACGCUUUGGAAUGUGCAUCAUAAUGAAAACUCAUCAAUAUCCAGAGUUCGCUGUUGCGAUUUAACGUCUUUUUCCGUGCCAAGAAAAGAGCCAUCAAACACAGACAACUCCUUCUGCUUCUAUUGUUAUUCAACCCAUUAAUAAUUCUGUUAUACCUCUGAUCUCCCAUUGAAAUUAAAUAUAUUCCCAGAUGUUUUUCUUGUCAGUUCUACCACUCCUGUCCUGAACAUCUUUGCUAUUGUUUAACUUAUGAGCAGGAAAACCUGCAGCCUUUAAUAGACUAAAGAAAACACAGGGUUGUCAUCAAUCAUUGGCAGUGAUUUGCAGCGCGGCUACACGACAAAGCAACACCUACAAAUUGGCUUUGAAUUGCUAAAUAGUGAAAUCAGUGUUUCGGGGCAGGGCGUCAUUUUUUUUUCCACCAGGAAUGAAUCACUAAAAUGUGACAUUCAUCUUUUUGAUGAGUUUUGCUUUGAUUAAUGAGUGUCUGAGAGUGGAAAGUCCCUAUCAAGCAUGGGGAAGUAGGCAGACGUUUAGAACGCAGCGCUCAUCAGAAAUCAGAAGUCUUUCUGAAAACAGCCUACAUGAUUUCGUUUUUACUUGUCAUGCACAACUUGUCAGCAUGCCCCACAAAAGCAAAAGUUUGUCUAUGGAUUGUUUAUAAAAAAAAAUUUAAAAAAAAAUCAACAGUAAUAUAUA